rnacentral:rRNA from 1 species
AGCCACAGCCACAUCACCCUGCAGCCCAAGACUGGUUGCCCACUGAAGCUAAGCAGGGUUGAGCCUGGUCAGUACCUGGAUGGGAGACCUCCUGGGAAAACUAGGUUGCUGUUGGAA